rnacentral:misc_RNA from 1 species
UCUCCGUAGGUGAACCUGCGGAGGGAUCAUUACAGAGUUCAUGCCCUACCGGGUAGAUCUCCCACCCUAUGUUAUUAUUACUUUGUUGCUUUGACGGGCCGUUAGGCUCCGGCCCGACUACCGGCCCCGGCUGGUAAGCGCCCGCCAGAGGACCCAAAACCCCGAAUAUUAGUGUCGUCUGAGUACUAUAUAAUAGUUAAAACUUUCAACAACGGAUCUCUUGGUUCUGGCAUCGAUGAAGAUCGCAGC